UCCGGCUUGUCGCCGGCGGUCCCUCUAGAGUGCCCAACUGAAUGAUGGCAACUAAAGGCGAGGGUUGCGCUCGUUGCGGGACUUAACCCAACAUCUCACGACACGAGCUGACGACAGCCAUGCAGCACCUGUCUCUACGUCCCUUGCGGGAAAACUCCCAUUACGGAGCGGUCGUAGGAUGUCAAACCCUGGUAAGGUUCUGCGCGUUGCGUCGAAUUAAACCACAUGCUCCACCGCUUGUGCGGGCCCCCGUCAAUUCCUUUGAGUUUCAACCCUGCGGCCGUACUCCCCAGGCGGGAUGCUUAAUGCGUUAGCUGCGCCACUGAAUAGCAAGCUACCCAACGGCUAGCAUCCAUCGUUUACGGCGUGGACUAC
rnacentral:misc_RNA from 1 species